rnacentral:rRNA from 1 species
CAGUAGCCGCGGUAAUACGUAGGUGGCAAGCGUUAUCCGGAAUUAUUGGGCGUAAAGCGCGCGUAGGCGGUUUCUUAAGUCUGAUGUGAAAGCCCACGGCUCAACCGUGGAGGGUCAUUGGAAACUGGGAAACUUGAGUGCAGAAGAGGAAAGUGGAAUUCCAUGUGUAGCGGUGAAAUGCGCAGAGAUAUGGAGGAACACCAGUGGCGAAGGCGACUUUCUGGUCUGUAACUGACGCUGAUGUGCGAAAGCGUGGGGAUCAAACAGGAUUAGAUACCCCGGUAGUCCCUGUCUCUUAUAC